CAUGGAGAAUGCAUAGAACCUCAUUUGGAAAUCCAUCAUUUGAUAAUUAAAAAUUUUUCGAGCCUCAUCAUCGAUAAUGGUUGAUAAUUUCAUAAUACCUAAUUUAAAAAAUUCUAUUCCAAAAUCGACAUCGAACAUCGACUAACCUAGGUCAGUCACUCUCAAGGUGAUGGAGAGGCUGAGGUAACUAUUGCCCAGAAAGGUAGCAACGCAAGAGAGGGGUGAUAGG
rnacentral:lncRNA from 1 species